rnacentral:rRNA from 1 species
AUUGAACGCUGGCGGCAGGCCUAACACAUGCAAGUCGAGCGAGCGGCGGACGGGUGCGUAAUGUGUGGGAAACUGCCUGAUGGAGGGGGAUAACUACUGGAAACGGUAGCUAAUACCGCAUACCAUCAGAUGUGCCCCGAUGGGAUUAGCUAGUAGGGUGGGUAACGGCCCACCUAGGCGACGAUCCCUAGCGGGUCUGAGAGGAUGACCAGCCACACUGGAACUGAGACACGGUCCAGACUCCUACGGGAGGCAGCAGUGGGGAAUAUUGCACAAUGGGCGAAAGCCUGACCCAGCCAUGCCGCGUGUGUGAAGAAGGCCUUCGGGUUGUAAAUCACUUUCGGCGGGGAGGCGGUAUCCGAAGAAGAAGCACCGGCUAACUCCGUGCCAGCAGCCGCGGUAAUAC